GGAAUUUUGGACAAUGGGCGCAAGCCUGAUCCAGCAAUGCCGCGUGUGUGAAGAAGGCCUUCGGGUUGUAAAGCACUUUUGUCCGGAAAGAAAACCUCGUGGUUAAUACCCGUGGGGGAUGACGGUACCGGAAGAAUAAGCACCGGCUAACUACGUGCCAGCAGCCGCGGUAAUACGUAGGGUGCAAGCGUUAAUCGGAAUUACUGGGCGUAAAGCGUGCGCAGGCGGUUCGCUAAGACAGAUGUGAAAUCCCCGGGCUUAACCUGGGAACUGCAUUUGUGACUGGCGGGCUAGAGUAUGGCAGAGGGGGGUAGAAUUCCACGUGUAGCAGUGAAAUGCGUAGAGAUGUGGAGGAAUACCGAUGGCGAAGGCAGCCCCCUGGGCCAAUACUGACGCUCAUGCACGAAAGCGUGGGGAGCAAACA
rnacentral:rRNA from 1 species